UACGUAGGGGGCAAGCGUUGUCCGGAAUCAUUGGGCGUAAAGAGCGUGUAGGCGGCUCGGUAAGUCCGCUCUGAAAGCCCGGGGCUCAACCCCGGGAGGCGGGCGGAUACUGUCGGGCUAGAGUCCGGAAGAGGCGAGUGGAAUUCCUGGUGUAGCGGUGAAAUGCGCAGAUAUCAGGAGGAACACCCGUGGCUAAGGCGGCUCUCUAGUACGGUACUGACGCUGAGACGCGAAAGCGUGGGGAGCGAACAGG
rnacentral:rRNA from 1 species